rnacentral:lncRNA from 13 species
AUGUGUGUUGGUCUGGUUAGGGAUUCUGUGUAUGGAUUUGGUUAUGGAUUGUUUGGGUUGGUCUGGUUAUGGAUUGUGUGUAUGGGUCUGGUAAUGGAUUAUGUGUAUGGGUAUGGACUUGUGUGUAUGGGUCUGGUUAUGGGUCUGAUUACGGAUAGUGUGUGUGUCUGGUUAUGGGUCUCGUUAUCGAUUAUGUGUAUGGAUUUGAUUGUGGAUUGUGUGUAUGGGUCUGGUUAUGGAUUAUGUGUAUGGGUCUUGUUAUGGGUCUCGUUAUGGAUUUACGUGGAUUUGGUUAUGGAUUAUAUGUGUUGGUAUAGUUACGGGUUUGGUUAUGGAUUGUGUGUGUGGGUCUGGGUAUGGACUGUGUGUAUGGGUCGUGUGUGGGGGUCUGGGUAUGGGUCUGGUUAUGGUUUAUGUGUAUGGCUGUGUGUGUGGGUUUGGUUAUGGACUGUGUGGUAUGUGUCUGCUUAUGGAUUUUGUGUGGGGGUCUGGUUAUGGAUUAUGUGUAGGGAUUUGGUUAUUGAUUGUGUGUGUGGGUCUGGGUAUGGACUGUGUGUAUGGGUAUGGUUAUGGAAUAUGUGUGUGGAUUUGGUUAUCGGUCUGGUUAUGGUUUAUGUGUAUUGCUGUGUGUAUGGGUCUGGUUAUGAAUUGUAUGUGUCUGCUUAUGGAUUUUGUGUGGGGGUCUGGUUAUGGAUUGUGUGUAUUGGUCUAGUUAUGGGUUUGGUGAUGGAUUGUGUGUGUGGGUCUGGGUAUGGACUGUGUGUAUGGGUGUGGUUAUGGGUCGUGUGUGGGGGUCUGGUUAUGGUUUAUGUGUAUGGCUGUGUGUGUGGGUUUGGUUAUGGAUUGUAUGUGUCUGCUUAUGGAUUUUGUGUGGGGGUCUGGUUAUUGAUUGUGUGGAUUUGGUUAUGGAUUAUGUGUGUGUGGGUCUGGUUAUGCAUUGUGUCUGUGGGUCUUGGUGGGGGUGUGGUUAUGGGUCUGGUUAUGGAUUAUGUGUGUGGGUCUGGUGAUGGAUUGUGUGUAUGGGUCUGGUUAUGGAUUAUGUGUAGGGAUUUGGUUAUUGAUUGUGUGUAUGGGUCUGUGUAUGGACUGUGUGUAUGAGUCUGAUUAUGGAUUGUGUGGGGGUCUGUGUAUGGACUUGUGUGUAUGGGUCUGAUUAUGGAUUAUGUGUGUUGGUCUAGUUAUGGGUUUUGUUAUGGAUUGUGUGUGGGUCUGGGUAUGGACUGUGUGUAUUGGUGUGGUUAUGGGUCUGGUUAUGGAUUUUGUGUAUGGGUCUGGUGAUGGAUUAUGUGGAUUUGGUUAUUGAUUGUGUGUAUGGGUCUGGUUAUGGAUUAUGUGUGUGGGUCUGUGUAUGGACUUGUGUGUAUGGGUCUGAUUAUGCAUUGUGUGGGUUUGGUUAUGGAUUAUGUGUGUGGGUCUGGUUAUGGAUUGUAUGGAUUGUGUGUAUUGGUCCUGGGUAUGGAUUGUGUGUAGGGAUUUGGUUAUUGAUUGGGUGGGUGUGGUUAUGGAUUAUGUGUGUUGGUCUAGUUAUGGGUUUUGUUAUGGAUUGUGUGGGUGGGUCUGGUUAUGGGUCUGGUCAUGGACUGUGUGUGUGGUUAUGGGUCGUGUGUGGGGGUCUGGCUAUGGAUUGUGUCUGUGGGUCUUGGUAUGGACUGUGUGUAUGGGUGUGGUUAUCGAUUAUGUGUGUGGGUCUGGUUAUGGAAUAUGUGUGUGGAUUUGGUUAUGGGUCUGGUUAUGUUUUAUGUGUAUGGCUGUGUGUGUGGGUCUGGUUAUGGAUUGUGUGUAGGGGUCUGGUUAAGGAUUGUGUGUAGGGAUCUGGUUAUCGAUUAUGUGUAGGGAUCUGGUUACGGAUUGUGUGGAUUUGGUUAUGGAUUAUGUGUGUUGGUCUAGUUAUGGGUUUGGUUAUGGAUUGUGUGGAUGGGUCUGGGUAUGGGUCUCUUUAUGGAUUGUGUGUAUGGGUCUGGUUAUGGAUUAUAUGUAGGGACUUGGUUAUUGAUUGUGUGUGUGGGUCUGUUUAUGGGUCUGGGUAUGGAUUAUGUGUAUGGGUUUGGGUAUGGAUUGUCUGUGGGUCUUGUUAUAGAUUGUGUGGAUGGGUCUGGUG